rnacentral:rRNA from 1 species
AUUGAACGCUGGCGGCAGGCCUAACACAUGUAAGUCGAACGAGUGGCGGACGGGUGAGUAAUGUCUGGGAAACUGCCUGAUGGAGGGGGAUAACUACUGGAAACGGUAGCUAAUACCGCAUACCAUCAGAUGUGCCCAGAUGGGAUUAGCUUGUUGGUGGGGUAACGUCUCACCAAGGCUACGAUCCCUAGCUGGUCUGAGCGGAUGACCAGCCACCGUGGAACGCAGACACGGUGCAGACUCCUACGGGAGGCAGCAGUGGGGAAUAUGGCAAGAUGGGCGGAAGCCUGAGGCAGCCAUGCCGCGUGUAUGAAGAAGGACUUCGGGUUGUAAAGUACUUUAAGCGGGGAGGCGUUACCCGCAGAAGAGGCACCGACUAAGACCGUGCCAGCAGCCGCGGUAAUUC